AUUGAACGCUGGCGGCAGGCCUUACACAUGCAAGUCGAACGAGUGGCGGACGGGUGAGUAAUGUCUGGGAAACUGCCUGAUGGAGGGGGAUAACUACUGGAUACGGUAGCUAAUACCGCAUACCAUCGGAGGUGCCCAGAUGGGAUUAGCUAGUAGGUGGGGUAAAGGCUCACCUAGGCGACGAUCCCUAGCUGGUCUGAGAGGAUGACCAGACACACGGAAACUGAGACACGGUCCAGACUCCUACGGGAGGCAGCAGAGGGGAAUAUUGCACAAUGGGCGCAAGCCUGAUGCAGCCAUGCCGCGUGUAUGAAGAAGGCCUUCGGGUUGUAAAGUACUUUCAGCGGGGAGGCGGUACCCGCAGAAGAAGCACCGGCUAACUCCGUGCCAGCAGCCGCGGUAAUUC
rnacentral:rRNA from 1 species